rnacentral:tRNA from 1 species
CCCUGGUGGCUUGAUGGUAAAGAAUCUGCCUGCAAUGCAGGAGACCUGGGUUUGAUCCCUGGAUCAGGAA